UUAAGUUCAGCGGGUAACUCCUACCUGAUCCGAGGUCAACCGUAAAAAUAUAGUGGGUGACCAACGCCCGCAGGCCCCUCCCGAGCGGGUGACAAAGCCCCAUACGCUCGAGGACCUACACGGGACGUCGCCGCUGCCUUUCGGGCAGUCCCCCCGAGACCAGGGGGACCACGCCCAACACACAAGCCGCGCUUGAGGGC
rnacentral:misc_RNA from 1 species